UUUAGAGGAACCUGCCCUAUAAGCGAUGAACCACGAAUUACUCCGCUUUUUUUAGAAAUUCAGUUUGUAUACCGCUGUUGUCAGUUAGUUUCUUUAGAAAACUUUCAAAAAUGAAAAAUUCAAUGACUUCAAGUAAAGGUGCAGCUUAUAAAAAAGAGAGAGGUGGGUUACAUUUAAGAGAAUAAUAAUGGAUAAAGCUUUGAAAUAGGCUUUUGAAGGUGGAUUUAAUUGUAAAAUUUAAUUAGAUUUGAUUAGAGC
rnacentral:rRNA from 1 species